GGGGGUGCCCCGGUUUCGACUGGUACGGUCAGGACCGUUGGUGGCAGGUGGAGUGCCGUACUCCUGAUCGCGGCAAAACUUCAAUUGCCAACGACAACGGCAAUUUCGCCCUCGCUGCGUAAGCACCGAUGACGACGGGCCCAGCGGCGCGCUGUUCCGAGCGCCGUGACGGCCUGUAACCCAACCGGGACUAGCCCUGGAUCCAGCCCGCGGGAUUCAGGGGACACUCAGCGGGAUACGGAAGGAAACGCGCGACGGUCCGCCGCCCCCUUCCCGACAACCCAAAAGGCCGCCUAAACCUGUAGAGGCCUCCGAUUCGCGUACUAGGACGCGGGUUCGACUCCCGCCACCUCCAAUA
rnacentral:tmRNA from 1 species